rnacentral:rRNA from 1 species
CAGGGAAUAUUAGAAAUGGACGAAAGUCUGAUCUAGCAACACCGCGUGUGCGAAGAAGGCCUUCGGGUUGUAAAGCACUUUUUGGAAGGAUUAGGAAGGAAUGUACUUCCAGAAUAAGUCUCGGCUAACUACGUGCCAGCAGCCGCGGUAACACGUAGGAGGCAAACGUUAUCCGGAUUUACUGGGCGUAAAGCGCGUGUAGGUGGUUCUGUAAGUAGGGCGUGAAAGCUCCUGGCUCAACUGGGAGAGGCCGUUCUAAACUGCAGAGCUAGAGAAUGGUGGAGGGGGGUGCAAUACCGGGUGUGGCGGGGGAAUGCGCAGAUAUCCG